GAUCACAACAGAAUAUUCGUCAGCUUUAUGCUGAUGGGCCAAAAUGAGGUUUUUUCUCUUCACUUCCUCGUCCUUGGGCGUGGUUGGCAAAUGGCACUAGUUGGAUUUCUCUAUCUGUCUCCCUGAGUAGGGAGAUUUAAGCUGUUCACCCUCUGGUUGGGGAGGAGAAGUGCAAACCGUUUACUCUGAGCGUCCCUGGUUUAGGGAAGAUAGGAUUUACUAGGUGGCUGCAAACUGCUGUUUAGCUCCCUGUCUCAGUUGCCCUAUUCCGCUGUCCUCGCUUACCAGCCUGUCUCAUAGCCAGGGCCCAGGAGGUGAGAAGCUGGUGAGAUUUCCUGAGCCCCAAGGCUCCCCCACACUAGCUGUUCUCUCCCUGCCUGCUUGCCGGAACUGAUCUGCAGUGAGGUCUCAGGGUGGAGAGGACAGUGAGAUCAAGGCAGCAUCAACAACCCAAAAGGCACAUGGUUUUCAUUAAUAUUUCAUGGAGAUUUAUAAAACUGACACGAGUGCUUCCACUUACACCUGAUGUGACAAAUAAACUAAUAUAAAUGCUCUUCUGAGAUGUGCAACAAGUAAAAGUGUAUGUCAAGUUAGCCUUGCAUUGGAAGGGCUCAUCAAAUUGUGGGCCCAUCUUGCCAAAUUGCCAACUCUUCAAUUUUUU